ensembl:lncRNA
GUCCGGAGCCAUCUAAUUUUGAGUGAUCCUAGAAAAUCUGGCCUAAACUUCCCAAUCCACAAUGUAUUCAUCUGGACUGGGAUUUGACAGUGGAUUAAGAGAUGCAUCCCCUAAAUAUUAAUAGAUCUAUGGCUUCCAAAGUGUUGUAUCAGGAUGACCUAGAAGUGGGCCAGACUUCAACAGCAGGAACACUUGGUGAAUCCACCUGCAUCUGUGCCCAAUAAUCUCUACCACAUCUACCCCUGCCAAUUUUUUUCCUUUAGGAUGGUGGUUCUCAGCACAUGGUCCGUGAACCCCUGAAGUCUUUAGGGGCAAAAUUUACUAUAAUAAUACUGAGAUGUUAUUUGCCUUUUUAACUGUGUUAACAUUUGAACUGAUAAUGCAAAGAAAAAUGGGCAAAACUGUUGGCAACUUAGCAGGAGAGAGACCGUGGUACCCAACUGUAGUAGUAGUCACUGCAUUCCUCUCUGCCACACACUUACCACAUUUAAAAAAUGCCAAUGUCAAGUAAGAAUACUCUUGGAGCUUCCCUGGCGGUCCAGUGGUUAAGGCUCUGUGCUUCCACUGCAGGGGGUGCAGGUUUGAUCCCUGGUUGGGGAAGUUUCUCAUGCCAGGAGAUGCAGCCAAAAAAAAAAUAAAGAAAGAAAGAAAAAGGGAAAAAAAAAUUUAUAAAAAGAAUACUGUUAGUGAAGCAGUAUAAAAUUAUUAAUUUUAUAAAUUCCUGUCACAGGCAUACAGAUCAUUUUACUAUUUUGUGUGAAGAACUGGAAAAUAUAAAUACAAUACUUCUGUAUACCCAAAUACAAUGAUAGUCUCAUAGUUGUUCUAAGAAAAAACACUUGUGCAAUUAAACUGUGAACUCAACUCACCUUCAUUUUCAAACUAAUAGAUUUUUCUUUGAGUAGUAGGUUCCAUACACCCUUUAUGCUCUCCCUGUUUUUCCUGUACUAACGUCUUGUAUUAGUGUGAUAUAUUUGUGACAACUGAUGAGCUAAUAUUAAUAACAAAGUUCAUGGUUUACAUUAGGGGUCACUAUUUUUUAAAUUUUAUUUAAAAAAAUCUUUUUUAUUUAUUUUUCAUUUGGCUUUGCUGGGUCUCAGUUGCAGCACACUGGGUCUUUGAUCUCUGUUGAGCAUGUGUUGUAUGGAUGCUCAACAGAGUUGAGUGUAUGGAUUGCAGUUGCAGUGUAUAGAUUCUAGUUCCCUGACCAGAGAUUGAACCCAGAGCCUCUGCAUUGGGAGUCUUGGCCACUGGACUAUCAGAAAAGUCCCUAGGGUUCAUUCUUUAUAUUAUACAUUCUAUGGGUCUUGAUAAAUAUAUAGCAACAUGAAUUCAUCAUGACACCAUUAGAGUAUCAUACAGAAUAGUUUCACUUCUCUAAAAAUCCUCUGUGCUACAUCUAUUCAUCUCUCUCUUCCUCCCCCACAACUUCUGGAAAACAUCUAUCUUUUUGCUAUCUCCAAAGUUUUGCCUUUUCCAGGUUAUCACAUGGUAUGUAGCCAUUUCAGAUUGGUUUCUUUCACUUAGCAAUAUGCAUUUAAGAUUCCUCCAUGUCUUUGUGGAUUGACAGCUCAUUUCAUUACUGAAUACUCCAUCAUAUGGAUGUGCUGGUUUAUUUUAUCCAUUUACUUAUUGAAGGAUAUUUUGGUUGAUUCCAAGUUCGGACAGUUAUAAAUAAAGCUGAGGUACAUUCCUGUGCAGGUUUUGCGUGGGCAUAAAUUUUCACCUCAUUUGAGUAAAUACCAAGGAGCACAAUUGCUGGAUCAUAUGGUAAGAGUAUGUUGAGUUUUGUAAGAAACUGCCAAACUGUCUUCCAACUGUUUUGUAUUCCUACCAGCAAUGUAAGCAGAGUUUCUGUUGCUCCAUUUCCUUACCAGCAUUUGUUGUUUUCAGAGCCUUGGAUUUCUAGAAUCUCACUGUUGUUUUUAUUUUUUGGCCAUGCUGUGGGGCUUGUGGGAUCUUAGUUCCCAGGCCAGGGACUGAACCCAGGUCAUGAAAGUGAAAUUGCCCACUGGAUCACCAGGGAAUUGCCAAAUUUGCAAUAUCCUAAUAGGAUAUUAAGCAUCUUUGUUUUUGCCUUUUUUCUUUUAAAAUGAAGUACCAUUACUUGAAAGGACAUUGGACAGACGAACUAUGAUUAUUCAAACUGGUGCAUUUAGCAAAUACUUUAUCAAAAAUGAAAGGAACCUCUCCAUUCAAGGAAAACAAUAGAUGGUAUUUGUUGCCAGUGGUAAAAUUUGAGCUUUCAGGUGAAAAUUAAAAUUUGAGAAAACUUGUAUCUGCCACUAUGUGCCUGGCAGCUUCCCAACACUUAAGAAACUUUACAUUUAGAAGAGCUGCACAGCUUAGUUUUUAGAUGGUCAGUAUUUUCCAAAGGACCAUAUGUAUGAUUUUAUAAAAUUGUCAGGAGUAAAAGAUCCAUUCAAGUGCAAGAUAUACCAACAAUUUUUUUUUAACUUUCUAUUUUAUACUUGAGUAUAGUUGAUUAACAGUGUUGUAUUAGUUUCAGGUAUAUAGCAAAGUGAUUCAGUUAUACAUGCACCUGUGAAGUGAAAGUGACAGUGACAGUCACUCAGUCGUAUCUGACUCUUUACAGUCCAUGGAUUUCUCCAGGCCAGAAUACUGGAGUGGGUAGCCUUUCCCUUCUCUAGGGAUCUUCCCAACCUAGGGAUCCAACCCAGGUCUCCUGCAUUGCAGGUGGAUUCUUUACCAACUGAGCUAUUAGCAAAGUCCAUACACACAUCUACUGUCUCUCAAAAUCUUUCCCCAAUUAGGUCAUUGCAUAAUAUUGAGCAGAGUUCCCUAUGCUCUACAGUAGGCCUUUAUUGGUUAUCCAUUUUAAAUAUAGCAGUGUGUACAUGUUGAUUCUAAAGUCCCUAACUGUCCUUCCACUCAUCCUUUCCCUCUGCAAGAUAUACCAAUGAUUUUAAUGUGUGUAUUAGUCGCUCAGUCGUGUCCGACUCUUUGUGACCCUGUGGACUGUAGCCCACCAGGCUCCUCUGUCCAUGGGAUUCUCCAGGCAAGAAUAGUAAAGUAGGUUGCCAUUUUCUCCUCCAGGGAUCCUUGGCCAUCCAGGGAUCAAACCGGGGUCUCCUGAAUUGCAGGCAGAUUCUUUUAAUGUCUAAGACACCCAGGAAAGCUUGAUUUUAAUACAGUAGAGUGUAAAGUUCAUUAUGUUUUCCAGUCCCACAUCUGAUUGCACGCAUGCUAAAUCUCUUCAGUCGUGUCUGACUCUGCGACUCCAUGGACUCUAGCCAGCCAGAAUCCUCUGUUCAUGGGAUUCUCCAGGGACGGGAGAGCCUGGUGGGCUGCCAUCUAUGGGGUCGCACAGAGUCGGACACGACUGAAGCGACUUAGCAGCAGCAGCUCUUAUGUCUCCUGCCUUGGCAGGCAGGUUCUUUACCACUAGCGCCAACUGGGAAACGCCCACAUCUAACUAACUUUUAAAAAAACAACCACUUGUAAGUUUAGGUGUAGUAUCAAAGAAUAUCCACAAUUAUCUAAAGAGCCUAAUAACAUACUUCUCUUUUUACCAACAGUAUCUGUGAGACCCGAUUUCCUUCAUAUACUUCAAUCACAACAGAUGGAAUGCAGAAACAGAAAGGAGAAUCCAGCUUUCUUCAAUUAAGCCAGGCAUUAAAGAGAUCUGCAUGUAAAACAAUACUAUUCUCAUAUAUUUUUUUAGUGUGGAAAAUAUAUUUUUUCAUAAAAAUGUUAUUUAUGUAAACAUGUAAUGGGUUCAUGACUUUUUUUUUUCCUUUUAGUAAAUCAACGCAUAUUUCAAACAUUUCUCAGGGUAAAUUUACAAUAGGGUAAAUACGGAAAAAUAUAAUCUAUUAUUCAUAAAAAGCUCUUUAGGGUUCUCAAUAAUGUGUGUAGCAACAUAAAGGGGUCCUGAGACUAAAAAAUGUGAGAACCCCUGCACUAAGAUGCCGUCCUCUGAUCCUGCUUGUCAAUUCCAGGGCAGAGAAACAAUGAAAAAGCUGUUCAAGACUCACCUUCCCCAACCAAACACACUCUAUUUACUGCCCCUACUCUGCAUUCCUUCUGCGGUCAGGUCGUUCCGGUUUUCCUGCUGCUUUCAAAUCUCUGGUUCCAGGCCGGGACAGCCCUCCCCGGUGCAUCCUCAACUGGGCGGGAAACUCCCUGGAAAGAGUCUGACUUUUGCGCCCGCACCGUUCACAGAUCUGCAGCGACCUAAUAGGGGCGGGAAGGGACCCAGGAAGGUCGUGGGCGCCCAGUCUUCUUUAGGUUGAGAGAGCGGAGAAGGCUAGGGAGGCCUCAGGGACGAGACUAGGUACUUGACAGAAAAGAGACAGGUCCGCGUACACCUCCACUCCACGGUCACCAG